CCUACGGGUGGCUGCAGUGGGGAAAAUUGGACAAUGGGCGAAAGCCUGAUCCAGCCAUGCCGCGUGUGUGAAGAAGGCCUUCGGGUUGUAAAGCACUUUCAGUGGGGAAGAAAGCCUUGGGGCUAAUACCCUCGAGGAAGGACAUCACCCACAGAAGAAGCACCGGCUAACUCCGUGCCAGCAGCCGCGGUAAUACGGAGGGUGCGAGCGUUAAUCGGAAUUACUGGGCGUAAAGCGCGCGUAGGCGGUCUGAUAAGCCGGUUGUGAAAGCCCCGGGCUCAACCUGGGAACGGCAUCCGGAACUGUCAGGCUAGAGUGCAGGAGAGGAAGGUAGAAUUCCCGGUGUAGCGGUGAAAUGCGUAGAGAUCGGGAGGAAUACCAGUGGCGAAGGCGGCCUUCUGGACUGACACUGACGCUGAGGUGCGAAAGCGUGGGUAGCAAACAGGAUUAGAUACCCUUGUAGUC
rnacentral:rRNA from 1 species